GAUGAACGCUGGCGGCGGGCCUAAUACAUGCAAGUCGAGCGAACACACGAGGAGCUUGCUCUUCUGACGUUAGCGGCGGACGGGUGAGUAACACGUGGAUAACCUACCUAUAAGACGGGGAGAACAUCGUGAAACCACAGCUAAUACCGGAUAAUAUAUCGAACCGGAGGGUUCAAUAGUGAAAGGGACUUUUGCUGUCUCUUAUAGACGGAUUCGCGCCGGAUUAGCUAGGGGGUAAGGGAACGGCUUACCAAGGAAACGAUGCGUAGCUGACCUGAGAGGGUGAUCAGCCACACUGGAACUGAGACACGGUCCAGACUCCUACGGGAGGCAGCAGUAGGGAAUCUUGCGCAAUGGGCGAAAGCCUGACACAGCAACGCCGCGUGAGUGAUGAAGGUCUUCGGGUCGUAAAACUCUGUUAUUAGGGAAGAACAAAAGUGUAUUUAACUCUGCCCGUCUUGACGGUACCUAAUGAGAAAGCAACGGCUAACUACGUG
rnacentral:rRNA from 1 species